GGUUCGAUCCUGGCUCAGAUUGAACGCUGGCGGGGAUCACUUUACACAUACCGUCGAACGGCAGCCUGGACUUCAGUCUGGUGGCGAGUGGCGAACGGGUGAGUAAUGUAUCGGAACGUGCCUAGUAGCGGGGGAUAACUACGCGAAAGCGUAGCUAAUACCGCAUACGCCCUUCGGAGAACGGGACAUCCCGGGCCUCUCGCACUAUUAGAGCGGCCGAUAUCGGAUUAGCUAGUUGGUGGAGUAACGGCUCACCAAGGCGACGAUCCGUAGCUGGUUUGAGAGGACGACCAGCCACACUGGACUGGGACGGCCGAAUACGGGAGGCAGCAGUGGGGAAUUUUGGACAAUGGGGAAGCCUGAUCCAGCCAUCCCGCGUGUGCGAUGAAGGCCUUCGGGUUGUAAAGCACUUUUGGCAGGAAAAACGGCACCGGGAUGUACCCGAUACCUUCAAUAGUACCUGCAGAAUAGCCUCAGCUGACUACGUGCCAGCCAUGAUAAUACGUAAGUGCAAGCGUUAAUCAGACACUGGGCGUAAAGCGUGUAGCGGUGGUUCGGAGGAAAAGAUAUAAAUCCCAGAGCUUAACUUUGGAACUGCAUUUUUAACUACCACGAGCUAGAGUGUGUCAGAGGGAGGUGGAAUUCCGCGUGUAGCAUUGAAAUACGUGAUAUGCGGAGGAACACCGAUGGCGAAGGCAGCCUCCUGGGAUAACACUGACGCUCAUGCACGAAAGCGUGGGAGCAAACAGGAUUAGAUACCCUGGUAGUCCACGCCCUAAACGAUGUCAACUGGCUGUUGGGGCCUUCGGGCCUUGGUAGCGCCCAAUAACGCGUGAAGUGACCGCCUGGGGCGGGUCGCAAGAUUAAAACUCAAAGGAAUUGACGGGGACCCGCACAAGCGGUGGAUGAUAUGGAUUAAUUCGAUGCAGCGCGAAAAACCUUACCUACAUGACAUGUCUGGAAUCCCGAAGAGAUUUGGGAGUGCUCGCAAGAGAACCGGAACACAGGUGCUGCAUGGCUGUCGUCAAGCUCGUGUCGUGAGAUGUUGAGUUAAGUCCCGCAGCAGGCGCAACCCUUGUCAUUAGUUGCUACGAGGGCACUCUAAUGAGACUGCCGGUGACAAACCGGAGGAAGGUGGGGAUGACGAUAAAGUCCUCAUGGCCCUUAUGGUGAGGCUUCACACGUCGUACAAUGGGUCGGGACAGAGGUCGCCAACCCGCGAGGGGAGCCAAUCCCAGAAACCCGAUCCUUCGAGUCCGGAUCGCAGUCUGCAACUCGACUGCAUUGAAGUCGGAAUCGCUAGUAAUGGAUCAGCAUGUCGCGGUGAAUACGUUCCCGGGUCUUGCCCACCGCCCGUCACACCAUGGGAGUGGGUUUACCAGAAGUAGUUGCCUAACCGUAAGGAGGACGAUUACCACGGUAGGAUUCAUGACUGGGGUGAAGUCGUAACAAGGUAGCCCUGUUACUACACAAUUAUCCAG
rnacentral:rRNA from 1 species